rnacentral:rRNA from 1 species
CGCACGGUGAGUAACGCGUAUGCGACCUGCCCGUUGCAGGGGGAUAAUCGGGAGAAAUCCCGUUUAAUACCGCGUAACGCCGCGGGGCUGCAUGGCCCUGCGGCCAAAGGGAGCGAUUCCGGCAACGGAUGGGCAUGCGUGACAUUAGCUAGUUGGCGGGGCAACGGCCCACCAAGGCGACGAUGUCUAGGGGUUCUGAGAGGAAGGUCCCCCACACUGGUACUGAGACACGGACCAGACUCCUACGGAAGGCAGCAG